CGCCGCGUGAGGGAUGACGGCCUUCGGGUUGUAAACCUCUUUUAGUAGGGAAGAAGCGAAAGUGACGGUACCUGCAGAAAAAGCACCGGCUAACUACGUGCCAGCAGCCGCGGUAAUACGUAGGGUGCAAGCGUUGUCCGGAAUUAUUGGGCGUAAAGAGCUCGUAGGCGGUUUGUCGCGUCUGCUGUGAAAUCCCGAGGCUCAACCUCGGGCUUGCAGUGGGUACGGGCAGACUAGAGUGCGGUAGGGGAGAUUGGAAUUCCUGGUGUAGCGGUGGAAUGCGCAGAUAUCAGGAGGAACACCGAUGGCGAAGGCAGAUCUCUGGGCCGUAACUGACGCUGAGGAGCGAAAGCAUGGGGAGCGAACAGGAUUAGAUACCCUGGUAGUCCAUGCCGUAAACGUUGGGCGCUAGAUGUAGGGACCUUUCCACGGUUUCUGUGUCGUAGCUAACGCAUUAAGCGCCCCGCCUGGGGAGUACGGCCGCAAGGCUAAAACUCAAAGGAAUUGACGGGGGCCCGCACAAGCGGCGGAGCAUGCGGAUUAAUUCGAUGCAACGCGAAGAACCUUACCAAGGCUUGACAUACACCGGAAACGGCCAGAGAUGGUCGCCCCCUUGU
rnacentral:rRNA from 1 species